UACGGAGGGGGCUAGCGUUGUUCGGAAUUACUGGGCGUAAAGCGCACGUAGGCGGCUUUGUAAGUUCAGAGGUGAAAGCCCGGGGCUCAACCCUCGGAAUUGCCUUUGAGACUGCAUCGCUAGAAUUGUGGAGAGGUAAGUGGAAUUCCGAGUGUAGAGGUGAAAUUCGUAGAUAUUCGGAAGAACACCAGUGGCGAAGGCGACUUACUGGACACAUAUUGACGCUGAGGUGCGAAAGCGUGGGGAGCAAACAGG
rnacentral:rRNA from 1 species